GACGAACGCUGGCGGCGUGCUUAACACAUGCAAGUCGAACGGAAAGGCCCUGCUUGCAGGGUACUCGAGUGGCGAACGGGUGAGUAACACGUGGGUGAUCUGCCCUGCACUUCGGGAUAAGCUUGGGAAACUGGGUCUAAUACCGGAUAGGAACCAUCUUUAGUGUGGGGGUUGGAAAGUUUUUUCGGUGUAGGAUGAGCUCGCGGCCUAUCAGCUUGUUGGUGGGGUAAUGGCCUACCAAGGCGGCGACGGGUAGCCGGCCUGAGAGGGUGUACGGCCACAUUGGGACUGUGAUACGGCCCGGACUCCUACGGGAGGCAGCAGUGGGGAAUAUUGCACAAUGGGCGCACGCCUGAUGCAGCGACGCCGCGUGGUGGAUGAAGGCCUUCGGGUUGUAAACUCCUUUCGCUAGGGACGAAGCGUUGUUGUGACGGUACCUAGAGAAGAAGCACCGGCUAACUACGUG
rnacentral:rRNA from 1 species